CCCAAGGUGGCUCAGACGGUGGUUAAGAAUCUGCUUGCAAUGCAGGAGAUCCAGGUUUGAUCCCUGGGUCUUGGGU
rnacentral:tRNA from 1 species